CAGGUGUAUAGAAGAUACCUGCAGGUCGCGUGGGAACGCGCUCUUGUGGUUCGAAAUCUUCUUGGUCUCUGACUGAGCCAUGGACCGUGAAGUACUUUAAUAUGGGGAACCAAUGCAGUGAUUGCUUCACGUGUACAGCAGCAGAGUGAAGGCUCUUGUAUCGACCUGCAUUUUACAAUGACAGCAAUGGAAUAUUAUUGUUAAGAAGAUGAUAAGGUGUCGAUUCAUUAGAUUAUGACUAUUAAAACGCUCUUUCCAAAUGUCGAAAUUUUCACAUUUGCAAAUUCAAAAAAAUAUCAAAAACAAGCCAAAAUAUAUAUUUUUAGUAUUUAAAAUCUGAAACUUACAUUUUUAACUCUAUUGCAAGGUACAAAAAUAAAUAUGUCGUGUAGAGUAAAAAUAAAAUGUGGUACCUAAAAAAUUGUAAUUCAAGACCCAUCAAAAAGUUGCUACAUUUAUAAAGUUGAAUCAGGGAGGCCGUUGGACCGGGAAACAUUGGAUGUCUAUUAAUUUUCCGAAACAUUAUUUGCCAAUGGCGAACCUUUUUCGAAGAAAUCGACUUUGGUAAACAAAAUGUGUGGAUUGAAAUUUUGUUGGCUUUUUUCUUGAUUUUUUAAUAGCUAAAAAUUGAACGAAGUGGGAAACUAAGUUUUUAAGGGUUAAGAAUUUAUUUGUUUAAUUUUCAGCUGUUGAAAAAUCAAGGUAAAAACUAUUUUUAUAUUAAAUACAUUGUGAUUAUCAAAUAAUGUUCAGGAAAAUUGAUAUUUCUCCAAUUGUCUCUCAGAUGGGGAAUGAAUUUCGAUGAAGAAAAUAACAAUUAAACAUUUAUUAAUUUUUGAAGUUUUGAAUUGUUUAAUUUUUAAUUAGAGAAUUGAAAAUGAUAGUGUGGAUUUAGAUUUCUAAAUCAGAAAUCUUUCAACUGUUCGAUUUAGAAAAGUUUAAAAUUUUGAAGUUUGACUGCUUUUAAUUAAAAAUUUUUCAAUUGAAAAGUUUUCAAAUCUUUCUUUUUAUACGUGUAAUUUAUGGAGCGAUUGAAUGAACAAUCUUUUUUAAGCUUUAAUUUUAAAAGUUCAUAACAUAGUUCAAAAGAGUUCUAUUUUUAUUGUUUCAAUUUGAAGUUCAGUUAUGAUUAAUUCAAAUAAAAACAAUUUCAGUUAAAAGAGUUCGAUUUUUGAAUUUCAUUCGCCGGGAAAAAAUGAUCUUAAUGGGUAAAUGACCGGAGAUUUUUUCCUCGAUUAAGACGGCCACCCUGAGUUAAAUAAUAUUAAAUUAAUCAGAAUGUGAAUGAUUGAUAUUUUUAUUGACAGAGGGAAGCGAAGAAUUUGCAGUUACCUGAAUUUCUACCUGAAUUAUCAGCGACUGAUAAGAAUAAAUGGAAAAUUAUAGUUCGAAGAAUGUUGUGUAGAAAACUUGUAAAAAGUACAAUUUAAACCUUAA